ensembl:rRNA 5_8S_rRNA 5.8S ribosomal RNA
AACUCUUAGUGGUGGAUCACUCAGCUCGUGUGUUGACAAAGAACGCAGCUAGCUGUAAUAAUUAAUGUGAAUUGCAGGACACAUUGAUCAUCGAUGCUUCAAACGCACUUGCGGCCCCGAUUUCCUGCUGGGGCUAUGGCUGUCUGAGUGUCA